GUAAUGAUGGAGUUAAUUGGAAGGAACUUCUCAAGAUUAAGAGUGCUCAUAAGUUGUUAUACGCUCUUGAAAUUAUUGAAGCACUCGGAAAGCCUAACAGAAGAAUAAGAAGAGAGUCAACGGGAAGUUACAGUGAUCUUUAUCCAGAUUCUGAUGAUUCAAGUGAAGAUCAAGUGGAAAAUAGUAAAAAUUCCUGGACUUGCAAGUUUGUUGCUGCUGGCGGUCUUCAGCAGUUACUAGAGAUUUUCAACUCUGCGAUGCUGGAACCUAAAGAGCAUGAGUCAUGGACUGUGUGGCAGCUAGAUUGUCUUGCUUGCUUGCUGAAGUUAAUCUGCCAGUUUGCAGUAGACCCAUCAGACUUGGAUUUAGCUUAUCAUGAUGUUUUUGCCUGGUCUGGCAUAGCCGAAAGCCAUAGGAAAAGAGCCUGGCCUGGCAAAUCAAGAAAGGCUGCUGGUGACCACGCCAAGAGUCUCCAUGUUCCACGCCUAACAGAGGUGUUUCUUGUGCUCGUCCAAGGAACCAGUUUGAUUCAGCGACUUAUGUCUGUUGCUUAUACGUAUGAUCAUCUGGCUCCUAGGGUUUUGAAAGCUCAGUCUGAUCACAGGUCUAGGCAUGAAGUGUCCCAUUAUUCAAUGUGGCUC
rnacentral:lncRNA from 1 species